rnacentral:lncRNA from 1 species
CCGAUCGCACUCCCCGCCACCGAGCCACCGUUCUCACUCUUACUCCCAAUUUCUUCCCAAUUUCUCUCAUUUGCAAUCUGCGAGGCCAUUCUUUCACUUUGCCACCAGAAUCCCUCUCUCAGACUCUAUCCACCCCAACUGAAGUAGUGAAGCCCUAAUCCCGUCACCGACUCUUGCCGAUCAAAUCACCCACACCGAUCGCGAUUGCCUUAUAACUAAUAAGGGAUUUCUUUUUUCAUUGUAAGUAGUCAGGUAUGACAAAUAACUAUCUAAUGCACAAUAUGGUUACGCUCAGUUAAAUAGAGAAAAUUGUUAUAUUUAUGUUGUUUCCAAAUUUGGGUGUAUUAUGUCUUGAUAUUUUCCUGUGAAUCAUAAUUUGGUUGAUUCUAUGACUCCAAAUUUACUCUAGCAAUCUUUGAAAGGAUUGAGCUACAUGAAUAUGAAGCGAAAAUUGCAAGCAUUGAUUAUUCCAAUGUUGAUUAUUGCAAGCAUUGAUUAUUGAUAUUCCAUUAAAAUUGAUG